GUAGGUGGCAAGCGUUGUCCGGAAUUAUUGGGCGUAAAGCGCGCGCAGGCGGUUCUUUAAGUCUGAUGUGAAAGCCCACGGCUCAACCGUGGAGGGUCAUUGGAAACUGGAGAACUUGAGUACAGAAGAGGAAAGCGGAAUUCCACGUGUAGCGGUGAAAUGCGUAGAGAUGUGGAGGAACACCAGUGGCGAAGGCGGCUUUCUGGUCUGUAACUGACGCUGAGGCGCGAAAGCGUGGGGAGCAAACAGGGAUUAGAUACCCUGGUAGUCCACGCCGUAAACGAUGAGUGCUAAGUGUUAGGGGGGUUUCCGCCCCCGUUAGUGCUGCAGCUAACGCAUUAAGCACUCCGCCCUGGGGAGUACGGCCGCAAGGCUG
rnacentral:rRNA from 1 species